rnacentral:rRNA from 4 species
AAAUUGAAGAGUUUGAUCAUGGCUCAGAUUGAACGCUGGCGGCAGGCCUAACACAUGCAAGUCGAACGGCAGCACAGAAGAGCUUGCUCUUUGGGUGGCGAGUGGCGGACGGGUGAGUAAUGUCUGGGAAACUGCCCGAUGGAGGGGGAUAACUACUGGAAACGGUAGCUAAUACCGCAUAACGUCGCAAGACCAAAGUGGGGGACCUUCGGGCCUCACACCAUCGGAUGUGCCCAGAUGGGAUUAGCUAGUAGGUGGGGUAAUGGCUCACCUAGGCGACGAUCCCUAGCUGGUCUGAGAGGAUGACCAGCCACACUGGAACUGAGACACGGUCCAGACUCCUACGGGAGGCAGCAGUGGGGAAUAUUGCACAAUGGGCGCAAGCCUGAUGCAGCCAUGCCGCGUGUAUGAAGAAGGCCUUCGGGUUGUAAAGUACUUUCAGCGGGGAGGAAGGCGGUGAGGUUAAUAACCUCGCCGAUUGACGUUACCCGCAGAAGAAGCACCGGCUAACUCCGUGCCAGCAGCCGCGGUAAUACGGAGGGUGCAAGCGUUAAUCGGAAUUACUGGGCGUAAAGCGCACGCAGGCGGUCUGUUAAGUCAGAUGUGAAAUCCCCGGGCUUAACCUGGGAACUGCAUUUGAAACUGGCAGGCUUGAGUCUCGUAGAGGGGGGUAGAAUUCCAGGUGUAGCGGUGAAAUGCGUAGAGAUCUGGAGGAAUACCGGUGGCGAAGGCGGCCCCCUGGACGAAGACUGACGCUCAGGUGCGAAAGCGUGGGGAGCAAACAGGAUUAGAUACCCUGGUAGUCCACGCCGUAAACGAUGUCGACUUGGAGGUUGUGCCCUUGAGGCGUGGCUUCCGGAGCUAACGCGUUAAGUCGACCGCCUGGGGAGUACGGCCGCAAGGUUAAAACUCAAAUGAAUUGACGGGGGCCCGCACAAGCGGUGGAGCAUGUGGUUUAAUUCGAUGCAACGCGAAGAACCUUACCUGGCCUUGACAUCCAGAGAACUUAGCAGAGAUGCUUUGGUGCCUUCGGGAACUCUGAGACAGGUGCUGCAUGGCUGUCGUCAGCUCGUGUUGUGAAAUGUUGGGUUAAGUCCCGCAACGAGCGCAACCCUUAUCCUUUGUUGCCAGCGGUUCGGCCGGGAACUCAAAGGAGACUGCCGGUGAUAAACCGGAGGAAGGUGGGGAUGACGUCAAGUCAUCAUGGCCCUUACGGCCAGGGCUACACACGUGCUACAAUGGCGCAUACAAAGAGAAGCGACCUCGCGAGAGCAAGCGGACCUCAUAAAGUGCGUCGUAGUCCGGAUUGGAGUCUGCAACUCGACUCCAUGAAGUCGGAAUCGCUAGUAAUCGUAGAUCAGAAUGCUACGGUGAAUACGUUCCCGGGCCUUGUACACACCGCCCGUCACACCAUGGGAGUGGGUUGCAAAAGAAGUAGGUAGCUUAACCUUCGGGAGGGCGCUUACCACUUUGUGAUUCAUGACUGGGGUGAAGUCGUAACAAGGUAACCGUAGGGGAACCUGCGGUUGGAUCACCUCCUUACCUGAA